rnacentral:rRNA from 1 species
GACGAACGCUGGCGGCGUGCUUAACACAUGCAAGUCGAACGGAAAGGCCCUGCUUUUGUGGGGUGCUCGAGUGGCGAACGGGUGAGUAACACGUGAGUAACCUGCCCUUGACUUUGGGAUAACUUCAGGAAACUGGGGCUAAUACCGGAUAGGAGCUCCUGCUGCAUGGUGGGGGUUGGAAAGUUUCGGCGGUUGGGGAUGGACUCGCGGCUUAUCAGCUUGUUGGUGGGGUAGUGGCUUACCAAGGCUUUGACGGGUAGCCGGCCUGAGAGGGUGGCCGACCACAUUGGGACUGAGAUACGGCCCAGACUCCUACGGGAGGCAGCAGUGGGGAAUAUUGCACAAUGGGCGGAAGCCUGAUGCAGCAACGCCGCGUGCGGGAUGACGGCCUUCGGGUUGUAAACCGCUUUCGCCUGUGACGAAGCGUGAGUGACGGUAAUGGGUAAAGAAGCACCGGCUAACUACGUG